AUUGAACGCUGGCGGCAGGCCUAACACAUGCAAGUCGAGCGGUUGAGGUAGCUUGCUACCGAUGCAGCGGCGGACGGGUGAGUAAUACAUGGGAAUCUGCCUGGUAGUGGGGGACAACGUUUCGAAAGGAACGCUAAUACCGCAUACGCCCUACGGGGGAAAGGGGGGGAUCUUCGGACCUCUCGCUCUCAGAUGAGUCCAUGGCAGAUUAGAUAGUUGGUGGGGUAAAGGCCUACCAAGGCGACGAUCUGUAACUGGUCUGAGAGGAUGAUCAGUCACACUGGAACUGAGACACGGUCCAGACUCCUACGGGAGGCAGCAGUGGGGAAUAUUGGACAAUGGGCGAAAGCCUGAUCCAGCCAUGCCGCGUGUGUGAAGAAGGCCCUAGGGUUGUAAAGCACUUUCAGUGGGGAGAAAGGCCUUUUACUUAAUACGUAAGAGGAUUGAUGUUACCCACAGAAGAAGCACCGGCUAACUCCGUGCCAGCCGCCGCGGUAA
rnacentral:rRNA from 1 species